CUCUAAGGUGCUGAGUUCAGUUCAGGAGAGCUUCUCCAUUCUGUUAAUUAAACUUUGGGACAUUGAAAGUACCUAAGGGAAAUAACUGAAUAGAGUAUAAUACACUAUUCAUAUACUUCCAGGUCCACAC